UCAGUACUCUGCUUGUGGUCCACAGUAGUUUCUCGUAAGUGUAGGUCCUCAUUAUAUUUACUAAAGCUUGAGGUCCACCACUAGCCAGAAUGAUCAGCUAGAAAGACACGUAUAUACUCCAGUUACACAGUGAU